GAUGAACGCUGGUGGCGUGCCUAAUACAUGCAAGUCGAGCGAAUGGAUUAAGAGCUUGCUCUUAUGAAGUUAGCGGCGGACGGGUGAGUAACACGUGGGUAACCUGCCCAUAAGACUGGGAUAACUCCGGGAAACCGGGGCUAAUACCGGAUAACAUUUUGAACCGCAUGGUUCGAAAUUGAAAGGCGGCUUCGGCUGUCACUUAUGGAUGGACCCGCGUCGCAUUAGCUAGUUGGUGAGGUAACGGCUCACCAAGGCAACGAUGCGUAGCCGACGUGAGAGGGUGGUCGGCCACACUGGGACUGAGACACGGCCCAGACUCCUACGGGAGGCAGCAGUAGGGAAUCGUCCGCAAUGGACGAAAGUCUGACGGAGCAACGCCGCGUGAGUGAUGAAGGCUUUCGGGUCGUAAAACUCUGUUGUUAGGGAAGAACAAGUGCUAGUUGAAUAAGCUGGCACCUUGACGGUACCUAACCAGAAAGCCACGGCUAACUACGUGCCAGCCGCCGCGGUAA
rnacentral:rRNA from 1 species